rnacentral:rRNA from 1 species
GUCCUGGCCGUAAACGGUGCGUAUUUGAGAUAAGCGGAUUCGACCCCUCUUGUCUCGGAGCUAACGCGUUAAAUACGCCGCCUGGGGGAGUACGGUCGCAAGAUUAAAACUCAAAGAAAUUGACGGGGGCCCGCACAAGCGGUGGAGCAUGUGGCUUAAUUCGAUGCAACGCGAAGAACCUUACCUGGCCUUGACAUGUACGUAGUAGAAGCCUGAAAGGGUGACGAGGUAGCAAUACCAGCGUACACAGGUGCUGCAUGGCUGUCGU